rnacentral:rRNA from 1 species
AGUAACGCGUGAGGAACCUGCCUUCCAGAGGGGGACAACAGUUGGAAACGACUGCUAAUACCGCAUGAUACGUUGGAGCCGCAUGACUCCGACGUCAAAGAUUUAUCGCUGGAAGAUGGCCUCGCGUCUGAUUAGCUAGUUGGCGGGGCAACGGCCCACCAAGGCGACGAUCAGUAGCCGGACUGAGAGGUUGGCCGGCCACAUUGGGACUGAGACACGGCCCAGACUCCUACGGAAGGCAGCAG